CCACCUUGCGAGGAGGAAAGGCGAGGCCCCAAAUCCCCGCUUCUCCGUGACAUCAUCCUGCGGCGCUCUGGACUUCGCUUCUGAAGGGCCGCUUUCCACGUGCGUUUGCCUCCUGCCGCGAGGGACUGUCUGUUCUGCGGAUUGUGUCUUCAACAAAUUAUGCCAUCCAGAGGCAGAAAAAGGAUGUGUGACAGCCCCAGCAAUGACACCAAGGAUUUGGUCGACAAAAGAUAACACACUCAGUCUCGGAACACUGUAUCUUAAGGAGGAUAUUGUAGAACUGGAAAAGGUGCAGAAGAGGGCUACCAAGAUGAUCAAGGACCCGAAGCACCUUCCUUUAUUUAUCAAAUUUGUAUGCCGCCCCAAACUUCCGUCUCUGGGUGGCUCACAACAUAAAAACAAACCAAAACACAAAGUAAAAACCUUAAAACAAUUAAAAACCACAAUUAAAAAGCUUGGGUGAAAAGUGAUUCUGAACUUUCAGAUACAUGAACUUCUGCUUCAGAAGCAAAACAAUAGCAAGAUGGCAGGACACAGAAGAACACCACACCAACAAAAGCAUUAAAGCCUGCUGUCAUUCCCACCUCACCUCUUCUUCAUCAACAGUAGACAGAAGAGAGCAGGAACUAUGCCUCCAUAAAAAAGUGUUUUCAUCCUCACAACUGGGAUACUUUAAAGUAGAGUAAGGAAUGGCAACUCCUUCUACCAUGCAAGUUUAUUGUUCUCUGUAGUCCUCUCAUAAUCCUAAACCUAUGAACAGGAACUCUGGAAUAUUCUCAAAAACUACAAUGAAUCUGAUUCACAAGUUGCAUUUUGUAACCUUGAAAAGCCUUCAUAAGUCUUUCAGAUUUAAGAAAUAUUUCAAAUUUCUGGUUAUAUGAUGUAGAUAAAACAUGUUAAGGAUAACCUGGUUAUCCUUGUUUAAUAGUACUAAGUGCAAUCCUGACAUUGUCUUUGCAGACAAAUACCUGACAUAUGCCUUGAUGCUCAUACGCCCAUUUUGUAGACUGGUGUCCACAGUAAGGUGAAUUGGAUUGUGUGCUUCCCGACUGUAAUAUUCAUGAAUCAAGACUGAGUGUUCUGUGAUGUCAUGUCCUGUUGCAUACCUUCAAAAAUACAAUUAAAAUAAUUAAGAACUGUACAAUACUAUUCAACACCAACCUUUCAAAGAUACACUCUGAACAACACAGAUGAAUAUUUUCACCAGCGGUAUUAUACUAAAACAAUGCUCAGACAUUCUGUACUUAGAAGCAUCCAUAAAAGGUUUUUGUGCUGUCCUCUGAAGUGUGACAAAUUCAUAUAACUUCUUGAUAAGCCAGUUACCUCAUAAUGAAUAUCAGAACGUUACAGAAGAGUAUUACCAGCAACACCUUUCAGUAAGAUUAAGUCUAAAUGAAUUAGAACUUCCACUGUGCCUUGGGGCAUAAAGUGUGUGCCAUUUCCCACAGCCUUGUGACGAUUUAAGAAGUAGUUUACUUCCACAAAAAUGUAGCCUACAAUGUGAUGUCCACCACUUUGUCCUGAAGGGCACAUGCAUGGCACUUACUCCCAUAUUUUGUUCUACACCUUACGGAAGAAAUAAGUUUCCGAAGCACCUUCUGUAGGUGCAAGAGUAGACAAGAUUUCAUGUCAAAUAACGUUGUUCAGUGAGAGAAGUGUAUCUCACUCAACAGCUUGCUUGCACACUCAGACCAAUAAAGAUAUUGUAUCAUUUGAUCUAGUCCAAUUUUUUGUAACUGCCCACUAAUUAGCUACAUCAUUCUUGCCAUUGUAUCUUGAACAAUAUACUUUUUAAAGAUCCAAGUUGCAAUAAUUUCCAAAAGUAAUGGUCAACCUUUUGUUGUCCUUUUAACUACCGAGAGAUAUAGUAGACAACAAAUAGGAAUGCCAGAUGCUCACUUUAUAAAAGCCUCUGAAAAUACUCUUGCAACAGUACCCUUCAGGAAGAGUGCAGGCUCCAAAGGCAUUCGCCUAUGGUUAUGGACCUGUGUUCUGUCUACUGUCCCUGAAGCCAUAAGUGAAAGCAGAGGCAGUUCACUUGGCACGAAAUUAAAUCUUAUCAAGUGGGCACCAAGAUGCACAAUGGCCUGGUUCAGAUGUCACACAGAGUCAGGAUUGAAUCCUGGUUUCACACAACACUCCAUAGCCUCAGGUGCCUAUGCUCCCCAUCGCACAUGAGGGGGAAGAAGCAGUCCAGUUUUGAUCCUGGCUUAGAACAAGUCAGACUCUGCUGACAUGUCCAAACCUAGCAAUCUUGGCUUAAUCCAGCCAGAAUUUCCAUUCUGGUCUGUUUGGAAACACUGGCUAGAAAAGUCAGAAACACCCUUCUUGAACAUCAUGACAGAGUCUGAUACGUUCCAAAUCAGUAUCGGAAGCGAAAUCUCCCCUCGUGCAUGAAGAGCAGGGGAAAGCAUGCAUGCCUGAAGAUAGGGGACAUCAGGCAAAACCAAGAUUCAUCCCUGGCUCUGGAUUCAAUCCUGGCUCUGUGCAAUAUCUAGGAAGAACACAGGAAGCUUUCAACAAGUCAGACCAUUGGUCCAUCUAACUCAGUACUGUCUACCCAGACUGAAUCAGAUGAGUGCUACCUUCUGUACAAGGACAUUUACACAGCGAACAUCAGUUAGAGAGAGACUGGCACCCCAAUAUUCCGUGAUAUAACCGGAUAACAUUCCAGCCAUUUAAUGUUUAUUGUUGCUGGCACAUUAGCGUGUGCAAAACAACAGGAAGAUAGUCCUGCCCAGAUCCAAGGCACCAAAAGAAUUUAACAAAAAUACCACUACAACCCAAAUGUUCCAGCCUAGAAUCAAGCCAGUUAGCAAGUUGCUGGUAGUUCUAUUAUUAUAACGAAUAUUUAUAUACCACUUUUCAACAAAAAAAAGUCCACAAUGUGGUUUACACAGAAAAAUAAGAUGGUUCCCUGUUUCAAAAGGUCUCACAAUCUAAAAAGAAAUACAUGAUAGAUACCACUAGCAGCAGCCACUGGAAAACACUGUGUUGGGGAUAGAUAGAAGCAGUUUCUUUCCUCUCACUAAAUGUGAGAGUCACCACUUAAAAAGGUGCCUCUUUGUUCAACAGAGGUACCAUGUUUUAGUCAAGUCAAGAAGAUCAAAGAGGUGGUAUAGUGUAAUAGCUGCAAGUCUGAAUUUUCCCAGUUUAACUCUUACUUAUGUCAUGAACUUACUAGGAAGGCUUAGGCAAGCCACUCCCCUCUCAGCUCCCUAGGGUAUACUAUGAGGAUCUUGUUGUAAGGAUUACAAUCAAGAUAAUAAAUGUAACACCUGAACACUCAAAAAGUACUAUACAAAUGUUUGAUUAUCUGGCGUGUUGUAAAGCAGGUGUUUGUGCAUUUGCCACUGCAAGAAACUGCAUUACUUGUAUUACAAAUCAAGAAAUUCCAUGCUACCGUGUAACAAAUGUGAUGUCUUUGUAGUAGGGAAGACUGAUAACUUACCAUCCCAGAAUAAUCUCACUGGGGGAAACCUUCUUGUGUAGUUCAUACAUAUUCUUGGCAAAUUCCAUAUCAACUGCCACCUGGAAGUCAGCAAAACAUGAUGAGAAUCUGCUGCAACAAAGCUUAAUUGGAUCAUCUAGCUUAGCCCCAAGGUUUCCAAGGCCUUAAGCAGAGGUCCUUCUCAGCCCCACUAUCCAAGUUAUUUUAACUAGAGAUACUAGGAACUGAACCUGGGCCCUUGGGCAUGCAAACCAUGUACUCUACUACUGAGCUAUAACUCCUCUUCAUACCAAGAACCUCAACAGCACAUCAUUUUAUAGCACACUAUACACCCAAUGUGCAUGACUCUGUGAAGAUGCAUCAAGCCAUUAUUUUUGUUUUUAAAACCUCAAGUUGGCACAAAUCGUCCCCCUCCCCUUCAUGCAUGAUUAAUGCUUCCUACUGCAAUUUCUUAUUUAGCUGAAACUCAAGAGACUGUAGUUUGUUCAAACUGCUGUUAAUUAACAAACCAGGAUAUCAAAGCAGCAGUUUCUUACAAGCCACACUGAGUCUCCUCACUUCAUGCCUGAAAGGGAGAGCAGAGCAUGCAAACCUAAGGCUCAUGGUUGCAACAAUGAAGGUUGGGCCUUCCGUGCACAUCCCUAGGUGAGACCCUUCCUUGAAUAGGCAGACCUGACCACUGUCACAUCCUAUUUGGAUUACUGUAACAUCCAGUAGGUGAGGCUGCCUUUGAAGAGAAUUUGAAGGUGCAGUUUGUGCAAAACAUUAGCUGGGCUAAUACUGGGUGCCACAAGAGAUGAUGAUAUCACCUCACUUUUGAAAGAGCUGGACUGGCUGCCAACUAGCUUCCAGGUCCAAUUCAAGGUAAUAGUCUCUAUCGUGAAAGCCCUAAAUGGCCUAGGCUCUAGUUAUCUGAAGGACCAUUUAGUGUAGCAAAAAUGUUCUUAGUCUGUCAAGAUUUUCUGAUCCAGUAAAGUUUUCUGAUUCCUUUGAUCAUAUUAAGCAUGCUCCAUUGCAGUUAAGCGUGAUCAGUUGCAUAGAAUAAUAAAAUCUGACAGACUAAUAAAACAAUUAACUACAUCAGCCCUGCAUAAGCCACCUAGAUGAAGUAUUCCAGAAAGUAAGUGCAGUAGUGGAGGUACCUGCACCAAGAAUGGGAAAUGAUCUCCUUGCCUCAUGUAGCUCUCUGCAGUUUCUACCUUCAUAGGUACUGUAUUAUAUAUUAGAGAUUUGUUAAAGCAUACUUAAUUAUUCUGUGGCAGCGGGGGGCGGGAUAUGAUUAAGUUUAAUUAUCAAGAGCGAGGCUGUGAACCAAUUUUUUUUAAGUACUAGCAACGCCCCUGCUCCCACCUUACAAUAUCUUCUGGGGAAGGUCUUGCUCCAUAUGCCAAUGCCAGUGAAGCAAAAUCAUCAGGCAUGCAGGGCAGGACAUUUUCAGUGACUGCCUCCAGAUCAGGGAUUUGGGGAUGUAUGGCCAGCCUUUCACCAAUAGUUGAACUGCACUUUUUAUUCGGGCUUUUGUUGAGUAGUUGACCUGGUUGUAAUUGGAGAAUUUCUCUUCCACUUUUAGAUGCUGUUGGGAAUUUUCUUCAACUCUGUAUUUUUCUAUAUUUAUUUGUAUUGCUAUUAUAUAACUAUAUACUGUAUGUUGUACACCACCUUGAGACUGAUGGUGAGAAUAUCUAUAAAUUUAGAGAGAGUAAAUAAGUGAGUGUACACUUCCAUA